AUUCAGCUGGGAUAAAUUUGCAGGUAUAUUUUCCCUUACAUUAUAUUUGAUAGAGUUUACUUAUGCCUUCAAUGUAAUCACAAUUUUAUACAGGUCUCAUUACUUUGAUUAUUUAAAAUAUUUAAUAUAAUGCGAUGAAACGCCUAUUACAUCAUUUAUUCAUCACUAUUUAGCUAAUUAAUGCCCAUUACAUGCAAAAACUUCUGUAUUCAUGAUUUUUUUAUUUAUUUUUACUUGUACCACCACUACAAUCCUUUAUUAAUAUUAACAUCCUGUCAGGGUUGUUAACCCCAAUAUGAAAUUUAGAGGAACUUAGAAGGAGAUUAGGAAGAGAGAAGUAGAAAUAGAGAGGAUAGAGAAUGAGAAGAAAAGAGAGAGAUUGUAUUUCUUGUUAAACAAGAAUAAUCCCCGAGCUUAUAUGACAGCUCAGUAACUACCUGAGCUCAGGUAGUUACUGAGCUGUCAUAUAAGCUCGGGGAUUAUUCUUGUUUAACAAGAAAUACAAUCUCUCUCUUUUCUUCUCAUUCUCUAUCCUCUCUAUUUCUACUUCUCUCUUCCUAAUCUCCUUCUAAGUUCCUCUAAAUUUCAUAUUGGGGUUAACAACCCUGACAGGAUGUUAAUAUUAAUAAAGGAUUGUAGUGGUGGUACAAGUAAAAAUAAAUAAAAAAAUCAUGAAUACAGAAGUUUUUGCAUGUAAUGGGCAUUAAUUAGCUAAAUAGUGAUGAAUAAAUGAUGUAAUAGGCGUUUCAUCGCAUUAUAUUAAAUAUUUUAAAUAAUCAAAGUAAUGAGACCUGUAUAAAAUUGUGAUUACAUUGAAGGCAUAAGUAAACUCUAUCAAAUAUAAUGUAAGGGAAAAUAUACCUGCAAAUUUAUCCCAGCUGAAU
rnacentral:misc_RNA from 1 species